AAUGGUAUUACCAAGAUCAAGUGAUUACCCAAGAUAUAAACAGUUUUUAGAGGUUAUAACUAAUACAGGCAAUACUGGUCAUAAGCUGUUUCAUGAGAGCACCAGGUAAUAGCUGUAUCCUGGAUAGCUGGAUCCUGACUCAAGAUGAACGCUAUCGGCGAGCUUAACACAUGCAAGUCAAGGGGCAUCGCGGGGUACCGAUACUCUGGCGGCGACCGGCGAAAGGGUGAGUAACGCGUGAGCAACGUGCCCGUAUGUGGGGGAUAGUCAUUAGAAAUGAUGCGUAAUACCCCGUAACACAAGGAAUCGCAUGGUUCUUUGUUGAAAGAUUUAUUGCAUACGGAUCGGCUCGCGUGCCAUUAGGUAGACGGCGGGGUAACGGCCCACCGUGCCGACGAUGGCUAGGGGUUCUGAGAGGAAGGUCCCCCACAUUGGAACUGAGACACGGUCCAGACUCCUACGGGAGGCAGCAGUGAGGAAUAUUGGGACAUGGCCGGAAGGCUGAUCCAGCCAUGCCGCGUGCGGGAAGGCGGCCCUAUGGGUUGUAAACCGCUUUUGCGGGGGAGCAAUAAGGUGCACGCGUGCACCGAUGAGAGUACCCUGCGAAUAAGCAUCGGCUAACUCCGUGCCAGCAGCCGCGGUAAUACGGAGGAUGCAAGCGUUAUCCGGAUUUAUUGGGUUUAAAGGGUGCGUAGGCGGUUUGCUAAGCGGGAGGUGAAAUGCCGGCGCUCAACGUCGGAAGUGCCUCCCGAACUGGUGGACUGGAAUGACUCUGCCGUGGGAGGAAUGUGUAGUGUAGCGGUGAAAUGCUUAGAGAUUACACAGAACACCGAUUGCGAAGGCAUCUCACGAAGGGUUGAUUGACGCUGAGGCACGAAAGCGUGGGGAUCAAACA
rnacentral:rRNA from 1 species